rnacentral:rRNA from 1 species
UACAGAGGGUGCAAGCGUUGUUCGAAAUUAUUGGGCGUAAAGCGCGUGUAGGCGGCUUGUUAAGUCGGGUGUGAAAGCCCUCAGCUCAACUGAGGAAGUGCGCCCGAAACUGGCGAGCUUGAGUGCCGGAGAGGAUGGCGGAAUGCCCCAAGUAGAGGUGAAAUUCGUAGAUAUGGGGCGGAACACCGGUGGCGAAGGCGGCCAUCUGGACGGUAACUGACGCUGAGACGCGAAAGCGUGGGUAGCAAACAGG